rnacentral:rRNA from 1 species
UACGGGGGGGGCAAGCGUUGUUCGGAAUUACUGGGCGUAAAGGGCGCGUAGGCGGCCAACUAAGUCAAACGUGAAGUCCCUCGGCUUAACCGGGGAACUGCGUCUGAUACUGGAUGGCUUGAGUUUGGGAGAGGGAUGCGGAAUUCCAGGUGUAGCGGUGAAAUGCGUAGAUAUCUGGAGGAACACCGGUGGCGAAGGCGGCAUCCUGGACCAACACUGACGCUGAGGAGCGAAAGCCAGGGGAGCAAACGGG